rnacentral:tRNA from 1 species
GGGGAUGUAGCUCAGUGCUAAAGCAUAUGCCUGGCAUACAUGAGGCCCUGGGUUCCAUCCCCAGCACCACUA